rnacentral:rRNA from 1 species
GGCCCAACCUCCCACCCGUGACUAUUGUACCUUGUUGCUUCGGCGGGCCCGCCAGCGUUGCUGGCCGCCGGGGGGCGACUCGCCCCCGGGCCCGUGCCCGCCGGAGACCCCAACAUGAACCCUGUUCUGAAAGCUUGCAGUCUGAGUGUGAUUCUUUGCAAUCAGUUCAAACUUUCAACAAUGGAUCUCUUGGUUCCGGCAUCGAUGAAGAACGCAGCGAAAUGCGAUAACUAAUGUGAAUUGCAGAAUUCAGUGAAUCAUCGAGUCUUUGAACGCACAUUGCGCCCCCUGGUAUUCCGGGGGGCAUGCCUGUCCGAGCGUCAUUGCUGCCCUCAAGCCCGGCUUGUGUGUUGGGCCCUCGUCCCCCGGCUCCCGGGGGACGGGCCCGAAAGGCAGCGGCGGCACCGCGUCCGGUCCUCGAGCGUAUGGGGCUUCGUCUUCCGCUCCGUAGGCCCGGCCGGCGCCCGCCGACGCAUUUAUUUGCAACUUGUUUUUUUCCAGGUUGACCUCGGAUCAGGUAGGGAUACCCGCUGAACUUAAGCAUAUCAAUAAGCGGAGGAAAAGAAACCAACCGGGAUUGCCUCAGUAACGGCGAGUGAAGCGGCAAGAGCUCAAAUUUGAAAGCUGGCUCCUUCGGGGUCCGCAUUGUAAUUUGCAGAGGAUGCUUCGGGUGCAGCCCCCGUCUAAGUGCCCUGGAACGGGCCGUCAUAGAGGGUGAGAAUCCCGUAUGGGGCGGGGUGUCUGCGUCCGUGUGAAGCUCCUUCGACGAGUCGAGUUGUUUGGGAAUGCAGCUCUAAAUGGGUGGUAAAUUUCAUCUAAAGCUAAAUACUGGCCGGAGACCGAUAGCGCACAAGUAGAGUGAUCGAAAGAUGAAAAGCACUUUGAAAAGAGAGUUAAACAGCACGUGAAAUUGUUGAAAGGGAAGCGCUUGCAACCAGACUCGCUCGCGGGGUUCAGCCGGGCUUCGGCCCGGUGUACUUCCCCGCGGGCGGGCCAGCGUCGGUUUGGGCGGCCGGUCAAAGGCCUCCGGAAUGUAGCGCCCUUCGGGGCGCCUUAUAGCCGGGGGUGCAAUGCGGCCAGCCUGGACCGAGGAACGCGCUUCGGCACGGACGCUGGCAUAAUGGUUGUAAACGACC